UCCCUGGUGGUUUAAGUGUUAGGACUCAGCAUUUUCACUGCUGCAGCCCGGGUUCAAUCCCUGGUCUAGGAA
rnacentral:tRNA from 1 species